GCUGGAGUGGUGGAAUGGCAUACACGAUGGUCUCAAAAACCAUUAAGCGUAAGCUUGUGAGGGUUCGACUCCCUCCUCCAGCACCA
rnacentral:tRNA from 1 species